UCGGGAAUUUUGGGCAAUGGGCGAAAGCCUGACCCAGCAACGCCGCGUGAAGGAUGAAGUAUUUCGGUAUGUAAACUUCGUAAGAAUAGGAAGAAUAAAUGACGGUACUAUUUGUAAGGUCCGGCUAACUACGUGCCAGCAGCCGCGGUAAUACGUAGGGUGCGAGCGUUAAUCGGAAUUACUGGGCGUAAAGCGUGCGCAGGCGGCGACAUAAGACAGAUGUGAAAUCCCCGGGCUCAACCUGGGAACUGCGUUUGUGACUGUGUUGCUAGAGUGUAGCAGAGGGGGGUGGAAUUCCACGUGUAGCAGUGAAAUGCGUAGAGAUGUGGAGGAACACCGAUGGCGAAGGCAGCCCCCUGGGUUAACACUGACGCUCAUGCACGAAAGCGUGGGGAGCAAACAGGAUUAGAUACCCUUGUAGUCCCUGAGCGGGCUGGCAAGGCGCAU
rnacentral:rRNA from 1 species